GGGAGCAAAAUGGAGUCACAGACACAGAUCCUCUUGUCCCUGCUGUUCUGCAUGUCUGGUGCCUGUGCUGAUAUAAUAAUGACCCAGUCUCCAUCCUCCAUGGCUGUGUCAGCAGGAGAGAAGGUCACCAUCAGGUGCAAGUCCAGUCAGAGUCUUUUAUAUGGUAAAGACAAGAAGAACUAUUUGAACUGGUACCAGCAGAAACCAGGGCAGGUUCCUAAACUGCUAAUCUACUGGGCAUCAACUCGGCACACAGGGGUCCCUGAUCGCUUCAUAGGCAGUGGAUCUGAGACAGAUUUUACUCUCACUAUCAGCAGUGUCCAGGCUGAAGAUUUGGCAGAUUAUUACUGUCAGCAGUCUCUCGACUCUCUUCCCACAGUGCUUCAACCUCAAACAAAAACUUCCUCUGUGAGCCUCACUAGUUGCCUGCAUCAUGCUCAGCCCUGGGCCUGUACACUUCCCCAUUCUGCCUGA